CGGGAAGCGUCGUAUUAAAUAUUUAGAGUACCUAUUGUACCAACAAAUAAAAUAUACUUAACAUUUAACAUAGGUAAGUAAAAUACAAUAUCUAGUUGGUUGAUGUUGAACUUGAAACAUUAAACAAUACAGGAGAAACUUUUUUUACUAAGGUAAGGUGGGGUAAGUGCGACUGCUAGAUGAAAAGAAAGUGGUAAAAUUCAUAAUUCAUAAUUAUUAC